CAUCUCUCUCCUCCCCCUCCUCUUCUCCCCCCCACCUCUUCCUCCCUCAACAGGCAGCCGCUACAGCCUUGCUCUUCUCCCUAGCCCUUCCUGCUCCCCAUACUCGCCUACCUACCCUAGCCACUGCUCCCUACCUCAACUUCCUUUCCAAACUACUGAAUGCUGUCCUCCUUAUCCAGAUACCCAGUAGAGGGAGAGUUUAAAUGGUUUUUCCAUAAACUAUCCUGCUCCCCCUCCCUUCUUCUCCCCACGGGUUCCAAACAGGCAUUGAUCACCCCAGAAUUUCCAGGGAAGACCCCACUGUCCUUUUCUCCCACUCUCUUCUUCCUCACAAGCAGCCUGGAACUGAGGUGGUCCCGAGGACCCCAGGACAAAAGUUGGACUGUGAGAGACCCCACCCUGCCCUCAGGAAUCUCUUUGUCCCCCACUUGGGCUUGCGGAGAGCGACCUGGAGGGGAAAACCCAGACUUCGGACAGAAGGCGGGAGAGCGCCAGGCUGUUUCUACCCGGCAUCUCAUUAACCUUCUUCCCGGGUGAAGACUGUAUGGCCGGUGAAAAUGCAGCUCAGGGCUCUGCCAGAUGCCCACGAACACAGAGUUACUAAGCACGAGAUUCUGGAUGGUGGAGAGGCUUCCUAAUGCCCUUGGAAUCUGGUACAGUGAAAGUAACAAAGGACUAGGAAUCAAUAGACUUGGGUUUAAGUCCCAGCUCUGUCACUGAGUGACCUUGGGUGAGUCCCUUACCC